CUACGGGUGGCACCAGUGGGGAGUAUUGCACAAUGGGCGCAAGCCUGGUGCAGCCAUGCCGCGUGUAUGAAGAAGGCCUUCGGGUUGUAAAGUACUUUCAGCGGGGAGGAAGGGAGUAAAGUUAAUACCUUUGCUCAUUGACGUUACCCGCAGAAGAAGCACCGGCUAACUCCGUGCCAGCAGCCGCGGUAAUACGGAGGGUGCAAGCGUGAUCGGAAUUACUGGGCGUAAAGCGCACGCAGGCGGUUUGUUAAGUCAGAUGUGAAAUCCCCGGGCUCAACCUGGGAACUGCAUCUGAUACUGGCAAGCUUGAGUCUCGUAGAGGGGGGUAGAAUUCCAGGUGUAGCGGUGAAAUGCGUAGAGAUCUGGAGGAAUACCGGUGGCGAAGGCGGCCCCCUGGACGAAGACUGACGCUCAGGUGCGAAAGCGUGGGGAGCAAACAGGAUUAGAUACCCUAGUAGUC
rnacentral:rRNA from 1 species